GACGGGGGAUGCAAGCGUUAUCCGGAAUCACUGGGCGUAAAGCGUCUGUAGGUGGUGAUGCAAGUCACUGGUGCAAAACUCUGGCUCAACCGGAGGAAAGCCAGUGAACCUGCAUGACUAGAGUGUGGGAGAGGUAGAAGGAAUUCCCUGAGUAGCGGUGAAAUGCGUAGAUACAGGGAAGAACACCGGAGGCGAAAGCGUUCUACUGGAACACAACUGACACUGAGAGACGAAAGCUAGGGGAGCGAACAGG
rnacentral:rRNA from 1 species